rnacentral:sRNA from 1 species
GAACUCGGGGUCCCCCGCCCGCUGAGGAGAUGGAUGAGGACGGGCUUCCUCUCAUGGGGUCAGGCAUAGACCUGACCAAGGUGCCAGCUAUUCAACAGAAAAGAACGGUGGCUUUUCUAAACCAAUUUGUGGUGCACACUGUACAGUUCCUCAACCGCUUUUCUACAGUUUGUGAGGAGAAACUGGCAGACCUUUCGCUUCGUAUCCAACAAAUUGAAACAACUCUCAAUAUUUUAGAUGCAAAGUUGUCAUCUAUCCCAGGCCUAGAUGAUGUCACAGUUGAAGUAUCUCCUUUAAAUGUCACCAGUGUCACAAAUGGAGCACAUCCUGAAGCCGCUUCAGAGCAACCACAGGUAAGUGAGUUCUAAGAAACGAGCAGAUGUUCUUGGUUGAAACUGAUAGUGUUAAGCAGCAGGUUGGAAGGAAGAAAAACAUGUAAAACUUCUAAUAGUAAAAUUUUAAAACCUUAACAUAGAAAAUGAAGUUUGGGAAAAACAAAUUAGCUGUGUUAUUUUGAAGGGCUUCCUGAAGUUAAUACUUUCUUUCCCUAUAAAAAAGAAAAUCAGUCUAUAUAGGACUAGGAAAAAGCUUCAAAUAAUUCUUUUCUUCAAAAUAAUUAGAAAUUUUUCUAAGUUCUUAGAAGAAAUGUACUUUUAAAAUGUUUUAUUGUAAAAUUUUUAAACAUAUACAAAAAUAAACCUGGAUUCACCAGUUGUCACAAUUGCUUCAUCUAUUUUUUUGGUCACUUGCUGAAAUUAAUUCCAGACAUCUUGUCAUCUCACCCCUGCAUAAAUUUUUGAACAUCUCUGAAAAGUUUUGACAUUUUCUUUUGUAACAUUU